GCCUGGAUAGCUCAUUUGGUUAGUUAGAGCAUGGUGCUGAUAAUGCCAAGGUUGCCGGUUCGAACCCCGUAUGGGACA